AGAGUUUGAUCCUGGCUCAGAACGAACGCUGGCGGCGUGCCUAACACAUGCAAGUCGAACGAGAAAGUUUCUUCGGAAACGAGUAAAGUGGCGCACGGGUGAGUAACACGUGAAUAAUCUGCCUUCGAGACUGGGAUAACUUGACGAAAGUUAAGCUAAUACCAGAUAAGACCACGCUUCACAGGGAGUGCGGGAAAAGGGAUCUCAAAUCCUGCUCGUAGAUGAGUUCGCGUACCAUUAGCUUGUUGGUGAGAUAAAAGCUCACCAAGGCGACGAUGGUUAGCCGGCCUGAGAGGGUGAUCGGCCACACUGGAACUGAGACACGGUCCAGACUCCUACGGGAGGCAGCAGUGGGGAAUCUUGCGCAAUGGGCGAAAGCCUGACGCAGCAACGCCGCGUGAGCGAUGAAGGCCUUCGGGUCGUAAAGCUCUGUCAAGUGGGAAGAACACAAUGACGGUACCACUAGAGGAAGCCCCGGCUAACUUCGUGCCAGCAGCCGCGGUAAUACGAAGGGGGCAAGCGUUGUUCGGAAUUAUUGGGCGUAAAGCGUAUGUAGGUGGUUUAUCAAGUCAGACGUGCAAGCCCUCGGCUCAACCGAGGAAUUGCGUUUGAAACUGAUAGACUUGAGUGUAGGAGAGGAAAGCGGAAUUCCCAGUGUAGCGGUGAAAUGCGUUGAUAUUGGGAAGAACACCGGUGGCGAAAGCGGCUUUCUGGCCUGCUACUGACACUGAGAUACGAAAGCCAGGGGAGCAAAGGGGAUUAGAUACCCCCGUAGUC
rnacentral:rRNA from 1 species